AGCUGCAGAAGAAGCACCGGCUAACUCCGUGCCAGCAGCCGCGGUAAUACGGAGGGUGCGAGCGUUUAAUCGGAAUUACUGGGCGUAAAGCGCAUGCAGGUGGUUUGUUAAGUCAGAUGUGAAAGCCCGGGGCUCAACCUCGGAAUUGCAUUUGAAACUGGCAAACUAGAGUACUGUAGAGGGGGUAGAAUUUCAGGUGUAGCGGUGAAAUGCGUAGAGAUCUGAAGGAAUACCGGUGGCGAAGGCGGCCCCCUGGACAGAUACUGACACUCAGAUGCGAAAGCGUGGGGAGCAAACAGGAUUAGAUACCCUCGGUAG
rnacentral:rRNA from 1 species